UGGUGUAUAGCCAAAUCGGUAAGGCAGUGGCUUUUGAUGCCGUCACGUAAAGGUUCGAGUCCUUUUACACCAG
rnacentral:tRNA from 1 species